rnacentral:tRNA from 1 species
GGGGGUAUAGCUCAGUGGUAGAGCACCCGCAUACGUAUCGGAAGGUCGGGGGUUCCACUCCCUCUGACUCCA